AGUGAACGCUGGCGGCAGGCCUAAUACAUGCAAGUCGAACGGCAGCACAGCAGAGCUUGCUCUGUGGGUGGCGAGUGGCGGACGGGUGAGGAAUACGUGGGAAUCUGCCCAGUCGUGGGGGAUAACGUAGGGAAACUUACGCUAAUACCGCAUGCGCCCUUCGGGGGAAAGCCGGGGACCUUCGGGCCUGGCGCGAUUGGAUGAGCCCACGUCGGAUUAGCUAGUUGGCGGGGUAAAGGCCCACCAAGGCGACGAUCCGUAGCUGGUCUGAGAGGAUGAUCAGCCACACUGGAACUGAGACACGGUCCAGACUCCUACGGGAGGCAGCAGUAGGGAAUAUUGGACAAUGGGCGCAAGCCUGAUCCAGCCAUGCCGCGUGAGUGAAGAAGGCCCUCGGUUGUAAAGCUCUUUUGUCCGGAAAGAAAAGACGCCGGGUUAAUACCCUGGUGUCCUGACGGUACCGGAAGAAUAAGCACGGCUAACUCGUGCCAGCAGCCGCGGUAA
rnacentral:rRNA from 1 species